rnacentral:tRNA from 1 species
GCCUGGCUGGCUCAGUGGGUGAAGCAUCUGACUUCAGCUCAGGUCAUGAUCUCACGGCUUGUGGGUUUGAGCCCCGCAUUGGGCU